rnacentral:lncRNA from 10 species
AAAAAAAUCUACCUAGAAGUUUGUACCCAGUGAAAUUAUCCUCCAAAAGUGAAGGAAAAAUAAAGACUUUAUCAGAAAAAAGAAUUGAUGUAGACCUACCUUGCAAAGAAGGAUUACAAGAAGUUCUUCAGAGAGGAGGAAAAUGGUGUAGGUCAGAAACUUGGGUCUGCAUAAGCAACAGGGAGCAUCAGGAAAGAAGUGCAACGUCUACCUAGAAUAUCUGCUUCUCGCUGCCACAUGUUCCUUCCAUUCCAUUCCAUGAAGUCUACUUAACGAGCCCCUUCAGUAGAGAAGUUCUCAACGAAUCCCUUCUGGAUCCAGGCAUUCUGAUUACUGUAUUAUGACUGUGCACUCUACCCAGGGCAGACUGUCAUCUGAGCCCGGCCUGUCCUGCUGUCUGCUCUCUCCAGAGAGCAUCCUUCAUCCUGAUAAACAGGCUGCGAGCUGGACAUGUGACUGAGCUCCUUAAGACAUGAGUCUUCAGUCUCCUGCCCUCAGCUUAGCUGGAAGCUGGAUGACAGCCACAUUAAGAGGCUUUCUGCAAGUGGCUUUUGGAUGAAAAGGGGGCCUCUCAGGUACUCCACUCUCACGUUGCAGGCUCUGCAGCAGCUGGUCUAUCUGGUGGCACUGGGACUACUCCUCACUCUUAUCAUCCGACUUUGAAUGGGAGCCUCGCUCCUUCACCCUGAGCCGUCCAUCAAGACCCAGCACUAGGGCCAGGUCUGGUGACGGUGGCCAGACUGCUCACACUGCUGCCCCAGAACAUCCAGGUACUUUUAAACACUACUUGCUUAGGGCUUUCUGUGGCGUUGGACUGACUGAAAAGGCUAGGGGGGUGGCCAUAAUUGGUCCCACAGGCUUAGUAUUUGAAAGUGUGGGUAGUAACCUCUAGACUCCCGGCCUGAUGAUGCGAGAACCUCAAGCUCUGAAAACUGGUGGGUCCAGGACAGCCCAGCUCCCGGCCAGUCUGAUUAGGUGGGAGGGGAAUAGAACAGGAUCCCACCUGGUCCUUCUCUACCUCCAUCCCCAG